rnacentral:rRNA from 1 species
AGCGAACGCUGGCGGCAGGCCUAACACAUGCAAGUCGAACGGGCUCUUCGGAGCUAGUGGCGGACGGGUGAGUAACGCGUGGGAACGUGCCCUUUGCUACGGAAUAGCCCCGGGAAACUGGGAGUAAUACCGUAUGUGCCCUUAGGGGGAAAGAUUUAUCGGCAAAGGAUCGGCCCGCGUUGGAUUAGGUAGUUGGUGGGGUAAUGGCCUACCAAGCCGACGAUCCAUAGCUGGUUUGAGAGGAUGAUCAGCCACACUGGGACUGAGACACGGCCCAGACUCCUACGGGAGGCAGCAGUGGGGAAUCUUAGACAAUGGGCGCAAGCCUGAUCUAGCCAUGCCGCGUGAGCGAUGAAGGCCUUAGGGUUGUAAAGCUCUUUCAGGGGGGAAGAUAAUGACUGUACCCCCAGAAGAAGCCCCGGCUAACUCCGUGCCAGCAGCCGCCGUAACAC